rnacentral:lncRNA from 1 species
GAGAUUUGAAACAUGUUUUUGGUUUUGCCUUUCAAAUUUAAUUGAUCUAACAAGGUAAGGUAACGAUGUGCUAUUGCUUUUAUCCCAUUUAAAUUGUUUAUUUCAUGUUGUUGAAUAUUCUGCUUAUGAAAGUUUUAAAAUAUGAUAUGAUAUGUGUUUUAUCGUCAUCCGGUACUAAAGAUAUGAUUUUUAUUGAGUUCUUACCGAUUUCUAUAGAUUGAUGACAAUAUGAUAUUUGGUUACAUGUAUUUAAAUAUUUUUAUUUUGGAUUGCAGCAUGAUUUUUGUGUUCUAUUGAGUAUUCACAUGUACUCACCCUUUUUCCCCUACUCCUAACAGAUUAGAAUAAGUUGUUGGUUGGAGGGCGAUGAGGUACAGUCGUCCUCGGUUGAGCCUUUUCGCCUCUCUCCCGGUCGGUGGUUGAGCGACUUGAAGCUUCUUCGGAAUUCAAUAAAAAUAAUUCGGAGUAACAUGACCAUGGACCUUUAUUUUUCAGCGUUAUUUAGUUUUAUUUCCAUUUGGAAUUUGUUAUUUAGGAUUUGAGACAUGUUUCAAUCAAUUAUGUUUCCUAUAUGUUUUAUUUAUUAUUGGUGGAACGUAUAUCAAGAUGUUGGAAUGUUUGAUAAAUUUAUUUAACUAUGAGAAUGAAACUUUUAGUAACGAAUUAAAUAUUUAAAAUUUGGGUCGUGAGAUCAAAGAUGAUUUUCAGAUAUAUGGAAAUGCAUAUAUAGUAUGAGGGAGUUUUUAAUUGCUUCAGAUAGUAUUUUGCAUUCUACAUUUGCAACUUGCAAGAUGAUUUGUAGUGACUAUUGUUGUGUACGUAAAUAGUGUUUUCAGAAAUUAUAUUUUUAGCUAAACCAUGCCCUUACCGACUUAGAUAUCUACCUCUGCUACUUCUGGUUGAAUGGUGAGUUAAAUGAUUGAAAGGAGAGUCAUAACUGACCUGAUAUCUUGAAGGGUAAAAAAAUGUGUAUAUGUUCAUGCACAUUAGUAAUUAUAAAUGAAAUAAAUGUCGAAAAAACCGAUAUUAGUUCUACAUAGUGAGAUUCUAGAGAUGCUUUCAUACAAAUAUUUCUAGACUUUCGAACAAAAAGGAUGGAGCAAGUCCAUUGUUGGAUUAAAUUUCACCCGUUUGCAUUCAUUCUUGCCUACAAACAUAGAACUCAACAUUUGGCAUGGUUUGCAAUUUUUUUGGUGAUCAUCUUUGUAUGGUCCACAAUUGCAUACUUGUA